UUAUAUGGAGAGUUUGAUCCUGGCUCAGGACGAACGCUGGCGGCGUGCCUAAUACAUGCAAGUCGAGCGGACGGAUGGGAGCUUGCUUCCAGACCGUCAGCGGCGGACGGGUGAGUAACACGUGGGCAACCUGCCUGUAAGACUGGGAUAACUCCGGGAAACCGGGGCUAAUACCGGAUAACUCUUUCCCUCACAUGAGGGAAAGCUGAAAGAUGGCAUCUCGCUAUCACUUACAGAUGGGCCCGCGGCGCAUUAGCUAGUUGGUGAGGUAACGGCUCACCAAGGCGACGAUGCGUAGCCGACCUGAGAGGGUGAUCGGCCACACUGGGACUGAGACACGGCCCAGACUCCUACGGGAGGCAGCAGUAGG
rnacentral:rRNA from 1 species